rnacentral:rRNA from 1 species
ACAGUCAUAUAUGCUUAUCUAAAGGAUUAAGCCAUGCAAAGGUAAGAAAAUCAUCUAGAAUGUGGUUUUCGUUUUAAGGCUCCUUAAAUCAGUUAUUGUUUAUUUGAAUGUGGAAUCUGGAAAAAGGUUCAAUCUAUGUGGAUAACUGUGGGAAAACUAUAGAUAAUACAUGCAAAAAGGGGAAACUGAGGCAACUUGGAAUCCCUGCAUUAUCUAGAAAUUUAUCAAGAGGUGUACAAAACUUCUGAUGAUGAAACACAGUUUACUAAAUAGCAGAUCGAUAGCAAUAUCGACGCUUCAUUCAAAUUUCUGCUUUAUCAACUGUCGAUGGUAAGUUAUUGGCUUACCAUGGUUAUCACGAGUAAGGAAUUCGAUGGGAAUGAUUCCUGAGAUUUCGCCUGAGAGAUGGCGAAAAUUUCUAAGGAAAGCAGCAGGCGCGCAAAUUACCCAAUAUUGAGACAAUGAGGUAGUGACAAGACAUAACGACAGGAUUUAGGGUGCAGGAUAAUAUCUUGCACUCAACCUGAUUGCAAUGAGUACAAUUUAAAAAGAUUAAUUAGAAUCAAUUUGAGGGCAAGCUCUGGUGCCAGCAGCCGCGGUAACUCCAGCUCAAAUGGUGUAUAUUAAAAUUGUUGUAAUUAAAAAGUUUGUAGUUUGAAUUUGGAAUUCUGGAUUUAUUGAAUGAUCACAAUGUAAAUAUUGUGGUUAUUUGUUCAGAUUUUCAUUAAUACCAUAAAUAAAAUAGAGUGUUUAAAGCAUGUCAUUUAUUGACAAUUGAAUAAUUUAGUAUGGGAUAAUGAAAGACGAGAGAAAAAAGAGAGUACAUCUCGCAGCAUCAUGUCUUUCCCUGAAUUUUGUAAGAAAUUAAGAGUCUUUAGUCUUUGGGGGUAGUAUGCAUCGCAAGAUUGAAACUUAAAUGAAUUGACGGAAGAGCACCACCAGGUGUGGAAUAUGCGGUUUAAUUUGACUCAACACGGGGAAACUCACCAGGACAGGACAUAAUAAGGAUUGACAGAUUGAAAGCUCUUUCAUGAUUGUAUGGAAAGUGGUGCAUGGCCGAAGUUAGUUCGUGGUUUGAAUUGUCUGCUUAAUUGCGUUAACGAACGAGACCUU